rnacentral:lncRNA from 1 species
GAAAACUGAAGGCGAAAAUGGAGUGGUGGUAAUUGGAAAUACUCUCUUCUCCUGAGAAAUAGUUUCUUAUAGUUAUGAAACCAGAAUAUAAUUUUGCACAAAAGGUUUUGAAUAUCUGGCGAACAGAGUCUAUCAGAUGAAUCAGAUCACUGCUAGACUGGAUAGAAAAUAGAUUAGAGGAGAAUAGAGUAGGUCUAUGAGUAACAAGCUACUACUAUC